UAACUGAGUCUUGGACUUCAGAGUGGGGUU
rnacentral:piRNA from 1 species